AUUAUACAUAAAGGUAUUUCCCCGAUAGGACCCCUGGUGCUGUAAUGACGUCACUAUUUAGCUCAGGUCGACGAGCGGCCCUGAUGACGCGUCCAAGAUGGCCGACAGGCCCCUGAGCUGUAACUUCCGCUGCCCGACUGUUCGUGACGAUGGAGACCUGAUGGAAGAAAGGAGACUGACUGGGGGCGCCCUCCAUCCAUCACAUGGGAUCAUGCUGCUGUGCGGGGAUGACGUGUUUAUGUGCUUAAAAGAUCUAAACUGAAUCAUGCAACACAUGAACAGUGAACUCUAGUCUGCACCUGAAGAAAGGCUCUUUACUUGGUAACAGUAUCGCUCAUUUAAAUCAUUCCUUUUUCUUCUUUAUUGGGUCUCAGACGGUGUUUUUGUAUUUGAAUGAUUGUGUGACUUCAAAGUGUUUGUGUUUCUUUCUGAAUUCUCAGAAAAUGUUGGAGGAGCAGCUGGAGAACAACAAGGUUCAAGACAAGCGGACGGAGGACGAAAUGAACAAAGCUGCUGAAUGAGCAGAGACACUUGAAGGUCCUGGAGGAGACGAGGAGGAUGGAGGAACAUUUGUUUCCAGACCUGAGGACGGCAGGUUUCUUCUUCUGCUCUGCGGUUACUCUGAGAAGUAACUUUGACAGUUUGGGGGUGGUUCAGCUUUUGUCAAAUGUUUGCUGUGCAGCUGAAUUUUAAUAAAGAAUAAUGUAGCAUAA